AAUUAUGGUGUGUUGGGCAGGGCAGCGUUAGCUGGCCGUAAUCCUUUGAGGCGGUAGUUCCUAACCCUGUUCAACUCACCACCCGA
rnacentral:antisense_RNA from 1 species